UAUAUACUAUUGGCAGCAUAGGAACCCAGUGAAUGUCAUCUUGCUGAUGGCUGGGGGCUAACCAAGAGAGGUAAAGGUGUGGGAUACUGCAUCUAAACCAAGACCAAGUUAGAGAUAACUCGGUAUCCGGGAAUAAACCACCGCUUUGGUUAGAAGCGCGACACGCUAUCCGAUGUAAACGAGUAUUAGGUCAGGCACGACAAGAGGCUCUGCAGAAAUGCAUCCCACGUGAUGAUACUAGCGUGAGAAACUAGUAUCUGCGUUCUCAAAAGAAGUGCUCGCGUUGACGGAAGGUAACUUCCUAUAACUGACUUGAUAUGUACCUGUAGGGGUAUCCGCGACAUAUAAGAUCACUCCUUUUAUGUAGCUGAAGCUCCCUGAAAGUUGAGAGGUAAUUCCAAUCCUCUCCGUUGCUACGGUUAGGAAACUAACCCAUUCUGGAAGUAUAAGGGUCGCUCCCUUAUGCUCAGCCCAGCGUGAACGUGCGUGAAUAACAAAUCAUAGUAAGUGUCGUAUGGCGAAGGCUGCCUAUGCUCUUUUUUAUUAU
rnacentral:sRNA from 12 species